rnacentral:rRNA from 1 species
UGGGGGAUAUUGCACAAUGGGCGCAAGCCUGAUGCAGCGACGCCGCGUGGGGGAUGAAGGCCUUCGGUUUGUAAACUUCUUUUGCUCUGAACAAGGCGCACUUUGGGGUGUGUUGAGUGUAGGGGUUGAUUAGCGCCGGCUAACUACGUGCCAGCAGCCGCGGUAAUACGUAGGGCGCGAGCGUUGUCCGGAAUUAUUGGGCGUAAAGGGCUUGUAGGUGGCUGGUUGCGUCUGUCGUGAAAGCUCAUGGCUUAACUGUGGGUUUGCGGUGGGUACGGGCUGGCUUGAGUGCAGUAGGGGAGGCUGGAAUUCCUGGUGUAGCGGUGGAAUGCGCAGAUAUCAGGAGGAAUACCGGUGGCGAAGGCGGGUCUCUGGGCUGUUACUGACACUGAGGAGCGAAAGCAUGGGGAGCGAACAGG